GACGUAGGGUGCAAGCGUUGUCCGGAUUUACUGGGCGUAAAGAGCGCGUAGGCGGCUCGUUAAGUGUGAAGCUAAAUCUCCAGGCUCAACCUGGAAACUAUUUCGCAUACUGGCGGGCUGGAGUGAUGCAGAGGUGGAUAGAAUUCCCGGUGUAGCGGUGAAAUGCGUUGAUAUCGGGAAGAACACCAAAGGCGAAGGCACCCUGCUGGGCCGAUAUUGACACUGACAGACGAA
rnacentral:rRNA from 1 species